UGCCAGCCGCCGCGGUAAUACGGAGGGCGCAAGCGUUAAUCGGAAUUACUGGGCGUAAAGGGCGUGUAGGCGGCUUUGUAAGUCAGAUGUGAAAUCCCGGGGCUCAACUCCGGACGUGCGUUUGAAACUACUUAGCUAGAGUGCGGUAGAGGAUGGUGGAAUUCCCAGUGUAGAGGUGAAAUUCGUAGAUAUUGGGAGGAACACCGAUGGCGAAGGCAGCCAUCUGGGCCGCAACUGACGCUGAGACGCGAAAGCGUGGGGAUCAAACAGGAUUAGAUA
rnacentral:rRNA from 1 species